UGGUAGUUCAGUUUGGUUAGAAUGCCUGCCUGUCACGCAGGAGGUCGCGGGUUCGAGUCCCGUCCA
rnacentral:tRNA from 1 species